ACCGGUCACCCACUCACCGCCCUAUAAAAAGCACGUUUCGUUUGUGCUUGUAGACACAGUUAUAUUUGUAUAAUUGUUCCAGGUAACAAUCUUUAGCCUAUGUUUGAAAUCUCACCGUUCUGUGUGCGAGCCAAUACCGGAGUUUGCCUGCAACUCAUUUUUCCCUCUCAAGAUGUGGAACGCUAAAACUUGGCUGUGCAUUGCUCCAGAUCCCGUCCUGUUAGCGCUGAAGCAGCCCUAAUGAGUUUCGUUUGACCGUGAUAUCGCACUGCACAUAAUGCAAGGAAAAUAACGCAGGCUUCAACCUUACCGUUGUUUUAAACUCAGCCAUGGAAUGACAAACCGGCCAGGAGAUGCGUGUAAAAGUAUCUGCCUUUCCAAAAGGCAGCUGUAACAUCCCACGACCCCAGCCUUGUACUUUUCGACUCCUGAAGUGUUGGGAUGCAGAUAAAGGUGAGAUUAAGAUUGUAUGCGGUCUACUCAUUGUCCGACUGUUCAGUUGCUCAACACGCAUGUUAAGAGUGUAGACGACCCGGCCUGCGUUGGGUUUGAUGCCUAUGAAAUCCCCGGUGGGUGCGAAGAGCGGUGCACAUGGUAGUUCACAUGUCGCCGGUAUAAGGCCCACCAACAAUGAAACGGCUUUCCAUGACCGCCGGGCGCCGAGAACCACCCCUGGCGGACAGAUACGGGCUGGAUAGUAGCAAACCCUGCUCACUCGUUUGUCGUCCUAAGCCUGAUUUUCAGGCCCCUAUUUCUCCCCCUCAGUGCACAAUAAUCCCCGAGAACACUAAGGGCUUCGUUUUCUAAACACACGACAUGAUCUUCCUCCCUGUUCCCUGCUGUUUGUGCUCACUGAGCACACGUUCGAUCGGGGAUCUCCGUCUUGACUGAACUUAAAUGCAAUGAAUGCAAACAUUCUACCUCCUGAACCUGGAAGUUUCAUCAUGAAUUGAACGAACACUUUCGGGGCCAGACCAUCCCCACGUGAUGACCUGUUUGCACGGCCAUCCAAAAUACAAUCCACACAGGUCUCCACCAUUGCAUACCCGCAUGCGCACCACCGCAAUCCAAGGUCUGUGAACGGAGCACAGCGCCCAACGGAACGUGACAUGUUUCUCACACAACAGCAACUGCGAAUGUGCAGGAAACGGAAAAUGAUACAGUAUUUGUAAGGCAGAACUAAGAAUCGUUAUCCGUGUGCGCUUAGCUAUGUUAAUACGCAACCUGCAGAAUGCACCCAGUUUCCGUUCCACUCUAUCGGACCAGCGCAUGCCCGGUUCCGUCCGAUGUCAGGGAAUAGCACGUGCUCUGUUCCGUCCGGUGUCAGCCAAGCACGGAAUGAGGCACUCAUCCGCGCGUAGUCACAGCGCACAGAUGGCCAGAGACCGUCCUAGGCGAGCUGUCCUCGAUGCAGCACAAUGGAGGACGCAUGUGGCGAGCCAACCAAGCAGGGCUAGCGACGGGAGUUCCCUGCCAGCAAUCCGCCUGGCCCAGGCCGCGGCGCCCCGCACGUAGCGCAAAUCUUGGCAGUCACGUCGUCGUUGUUCACAGUGCACUUGGUGCACGUCCAGAAGCCCUGCUCCUGAAGCAACUGCAGCAAAGGCAAUGAACAGGGAGGGGUUGCAUUCUCAGUUGCAGCUGAAAACGUGCGUUCAGGCGAAGCGGGCUCACGAUCCAAUACUCGGGAUCACAUACCUGCAAUUCAGAA
rnacentral:lncRNA from 1 species